rnacentral:rRNA from 1 species
UACGGGGGGGGGCAAGCGUUGUUCGGAAUUACUGGGCGUAAAGGGCUCGUAGGCGGCCAACUAAGUCGGAUGUGAAAUCCCCAGGCUUAACCUGGGAACUGCAUCCGAUACUGGAUGGCUUGAAUCCGGGAGAGGGAUGCAGAAUUCCAGGUGUAGCGGUGAAAUGACGUAGAUAUCUGGAGGAAUACCGGUGGCGAAGGCGGCUCUCUGGGCCGAUAUCGACGCUGAGACGCGAAAGCGUGGGGAGCGAACAGG